AUUGAACGCUGGCGGCAGGCCUAACACAUGCAAGUCGAACGGUAACAGGAAGCAGCUUGCUGCUUCGCUGACGAGUGGCGGACGGGUGAGUAAUGUCUGGGAAACUGCCUGAUGGAGGGGGAUAACUACUGGAAACGGUAGCUAAUACCGCAUAACGUCGCAAGACCAAAGAGGGGGACCUUCGGGCCUCUUGCCAUCGGAUGUGCCCAGAUGGGAUUAGCUAGUAGGUGGGGUAACGGCUCACCUAGGCGACGAUCCCUAGCUGGUCUGGGAGGAUGACCGGCCACACUGGAAGUGAGACACGGUCCAGACUCCUACGGGAGGCAGCAGUGGGGAAUAUUGCACAAUGGGCGCAAGCCUGAUGCAGCCAUGCCGCGUGUAUGAAGAAGGCCUUCGGGUUGUAAAGUACUUUCAGCGGGGAGGAAGGCGAUAAGGUUAAUAACCUUGUCGAUUGACGUUACCCGCAGAAGAAGCACCGGCUAACUCCGUGCCAGCCGCCGCAGUAA
rnacentral:rRNA from 1 species